AUUGAACGCUGGCGGCAUGCCUUACACAUGCAAGUCGAACGGUAACAGGUUAAGCUGACGAGUGGCGAACGGGUGAGUAAUGUAUCGGAACGUUCCCAUUCGUGGGGGAUAACUUCUCGAAAGAUCAGCUAAUACCGCAUACGACCUGAGUGUGAAAGCUGGGGAUCGCAAGACCUCGCUCGAUUUGAGCUGCCGAUAUCAGAUUAGGUAGUUGGUGUGGUAAAGGCUCACCAAGCCGACGAUCUGUAGCUGGUCUGAGAGGACGACCAGCCACACUGGGAGUGAGACACGGCCCAGACUACUACGGGAGGCAGCAGUGGGGAAUUUUGGACAAUGGGCGCAAGCAUGAUCCAGCAAUGCCGCGUGCGGGAAGAAGGCCUUCGGGUUGUAAACAGCUUUUGUCAGGGAAGAAAAGGUUCUGGCUAAUACCUGGGAAUCAUGACGGUACCUGAAGAAUAAGCACCGGCUAACUACGUG
rnacentral:rRNA from 1 species